GGUUUCCGUAGGUGAACCUGCGGAAGGAUCAUUACUGAGUGAGGGCCCUCUGGGUCCAACCUCCCACCCGUGUUUAUUGUACCUUGUUGCUUCGGCAGGCCCGCCUCACGGCCGCCGGGGGGCUUCUGCCCCCGGGCCCGCGCCUGCCGGAGACAAUCUUGAACGCUGUCUGAAGAAUGCAGUCUGAGCGAUUAAGCAAAAUUAGUUAAAACUUUCAACAACGGAUCUCUUGGUUCCGGCAUCGAUGAAGAACGCAGCGAAAUGCGAUAAUUAAUGUGAAUUGCAGAAUUCAGUGAAUCAUCGAGUCUUUGAACGCACAUUGCGCCCCCUGGUAUUCCGGGGGGCAUGCCUGUCCGAGCGUCAUUGCUGCCCUCAAGCACGGCUUGUUUGUUGGGUCUUGUUCCCCCGGGAACAGGCCCGAAAGGCAGUGGCGGCACCGUCCGAUCCUCGAGCGUAUGGGGCUUUGUCACCCGCUCUGUAGGCCCGGCCGGCGCUUGCCGACCCCAAUCAAUCUUUUUCAGGUUGACCUCGGAUCAGGUAGGGAUACCCGCUGAACUUAAGCAU
rnacentral:rRNA from 1 species